UAAAUGACUCUCGGCAACGGAUAUCUCGGCUCUUGCAUCGAUGAAGAACGUAGCGAAAUGCGAUACUUGGUGUGAAUUGCAGAAUCCCGUGAACCAUCGAGUCUUUGAACGCAAGUUGCGCCCAAAGCCAUUUGGUUGAGGGCACGCCUGCCUGGGUGUCGUGA
rnacentral:rRNA from 1 species